rnacentral:rRNA from 1 species
UACGUAGGGUGCGAGCGUUGUCCGGAAUCAUUGGGCGUAAAGCGCGUGUAGGCGGUCCGGUAAGUCCGCUGUGAAAGUCGGGGGCUCAACCCUCGGAUGCCGGUGGAUACUGUCGGGCUUGAGUACGGAAGAGGCGAGUGGAAUUCCUGGUGUAGCGGUGAAAUGCGCAGAUAUCAGGAGGAACACCAAUUGCGAAGGCAGCUCGCUGGGACGUUACUGACACUAAGGCGCGAAAGCGUGGGGAGCGAACAGG